CCUCAUUCCUAAUUCCCUAAUUCGAAACCCUAAACGGAGAGAGAGCUCGGCGGCGCCUCCUCGCCUUCCGCCGCUAGCUGCUCCGGUCGGCGCCUCCCUUGCGCCGCCGGGGACUUGAUGCUUCUCCCUCACCAUCCUCGGUCUCACUCUCUUCUUAGAACAACCAUCCCCAAAUCAAAACACAUCCAACCCUAAUCUCUCCUCCCUCUUCUCUCUCGGCGGUAACGCCACCUCGCCCGUCGCCAACGCCGCCAUCCGUCACCGCCGCUUCGCGGCCGCUCUCAUCCUCGGCUGCCCGACGAGCAGGGCUGCCGCCCGCCGCGUUGUUCGGCGCCGCUCAGCCCAUCUCCGCCUCCUUCCUCGUCUUCUCCGGCGAUUCGCCGCUGCCCUCUUCACCUCAGGAGCUUAGGCUCGCCGUGGAUGUUCCCGCGGCUGCCCUCGCCUCCAGUUUCAGCGAGUAGUGCCGCCUUGCAAUCCUCCGUUACCGUCCCGAUCGGGCAACCCAAGUGCAAAUCGUAAAAGCUAAGUCCUUUCACCCCUUUUGUUUAUUAGUACUUUGUUCAAGAAUUUGGGCAGUAGCUAUGUUGGAGACGUUUGAUUGUUGUGAUUUGAGAUUGUGAUUUCUGAGAUAAGAAUUUGCUCACUGGAAUGAGCUUGAUUUUUGGGCUAAAGUGUUGAUUUUGAAACGGUUAUAGUUUGCUACUGAAAUUUAGCAUGAGGGCAGCCUAUUGUGCUCUUGUUCCAUUUAUGUGUUAAGUUUUAAGAAUGCUACUACUGUCAUGAGAUUUCUCUAGCAAAUUCUACAUCCUUGAGCUAGCAUGAUGUUCUAAACAAGGGCAGAGAGUGUGCUUGUGUUAUUUUGAUUGUGCUUCCUAAGUUGUAGUGCCUCUAUAUGAUGAUAUGUAAAGCUAUUGGGGAAGGAAGAUGGAGGUGUAUUACCUCUGGAAAAUCGAAGGAGAGGCUGUCUUUGAUGCUUUUCUCCACUUGUUCCACCCUCUACUCUCGGUUUAUGCUGAGAUUUUGAAGUGUGUGUGAAAGGAAGUUGAAUGUGUUGUGGAGGAAAUUUUAUAGGCAAAAUGUGGUGUAUUAUGGGGAAUUAAAUGGGGCUGUUGUAUCACUUGUUGUUAUGCUGCAGAAAAUCCCACUUUAAUGAUCCCAUUGCCCCUCCUUCUUGGCUGCAAUUUGGCAUUACAUGGGUAUCUAGUACUUGGCUAGCAAUUUGAAUCGUUUGAUUGUGCAGUGAGCAGGUGGCUGUUGUGCCAAGGGUGUUGCAGGGCUGACUUUCCUCUUAUGGUGAUUCUUUGGGUCAUCUAUAACUAAAGAAGGUUGUCUCCAUCCCUAAGGUCGAGACAAGCUUGGUUGCCAAGCUGCUGGCUGUCUGGAACAGUUGAUACCUCGGCCCACGGCUGACCGGAAAACGGGCCGCGACUAUCGGCCCGGGAGGAGAGACCGAUUCUAUUCGAUUAAUGCACAUUUUAUCCUUUCC